UACGUAGGGUGCAAGCGUUAAUCGGAAUUACUGGGCGUAAAGGGCGCGUAGGCGGCCUUCUAAGUCGGACGUGAAAUCCCUCGGCUCAACCGAGGAACUGCGUCCGAUACUGAAAGGCUUGAAUCCGGGAGAGGGAUGUGGAAUUCCAGGUGUAGCGGUGAAAUGCGUAGAUAUCUGGAGGAACACCGGUGGCGAAGGCGGCAUCCUGGACCGGCAUUGACGCUGAGGCGCGAAAGCUAGGGGAGCAAACGGG
rnacentral:rRNA from 1 species